UACGUAGGGUGCGAGCAUUGUCCGGAAUUACUGGGCGUAAAGAGCUCGUAGGUGGUUUGUCGCGUUGUCCGUGAAAACUCACAACUCAAUUGUGGGCGUGCGGGCGAUACGGGCAGACUGGAGUACUGCAGGGGAGACUGGAAUUCCUGGUGUAGCGGUGGAAUGCGCAGAUAUCAGGAGGAACACCGGUGGCGAAGGCGGGUCUCUGGGCAGUAACUGACGCUGAGGAGCGAAAGCGUGGGGAGCGAACAGG
rnacentral:rRNA from 1 species